AUCAUACUCCCUCCGUCCGAAAAUACUUGUCACAGGAAUGGAUGUAUCUAGAUGCAAUUUAUUUUAGAUACAUCCAUUUUCAUUCAUUUCUCCGACAAGUAUUUCCGGACGGAGGGAGUAUCUU
rfam:Triticum aestivum genome assembly, contig: Triticum_aestivum_CS42_TGACv1_scaffold_471234_6AL